AUUGAACGCUGGCGGCAGGCCUAACACAUGCAAGUCGAACGGUAACAGGAAGAAGCUUGCUUCUUUGCUGACGAGUGGCGGACGGGUGAGUAAUGUCUGGGAAACUGCCUGAUGGAGGGGGAUAACUACUGGAAACGGUAGCAAAUACCGCAUAACGUCGCAAGACCAAAGAGGGGGACCUUCGGGCCUCUUGCCAUCGGAUGUGCCCAGAUGGGAUUAGCUAGUAGGUGGGGUAACGGCUCACCUAGGCGACGAUCCCUAGCUGGUCUGAGAGGAUGACCAGCCACACUGGAACUGAGACACGGUCCAGACUCCUACGGGAGGCAGCAGUGGGGAAUAUUGCACAAUGGGCGCAAGCCUGAUGCAGCCAUGCCGCGUGUAUGAAGAAGGCCUUCGGGUUGUAAAGUACUUUCAGCGGGGAGGAAGGGAGUAAAGUUAAUACCUUUGCUCAUUGACGUUACCCGCAGAAGAAGCACCGGCUAACUCCGUG
rnacentral:rRNA from 1 species